UGUCUGGGGUGCAACGACCAGAAGCAACUAGGGGCAGAUCUCUUCUUGACCUGCUGCUCACAGACCAGGAAGAAUUAGUAGGGGAAGUUAAAGUGGAUGGGAACCUGGGAGGCAGUGACCAUGAGAUGGUCGAGUUCAGGAUCCUGACACAAGGAAGAAAGGAGAGCA